GACGAACGCUGGCGGCAGGCCUAACACAUGCAAGUCGAGCGAAGCCUUCGGGCUUAGCGGCGGACGGGUGAGUAACGCGUGGGAACGUGCCCUUUGGUACGGAAUAGCCCCGGGAAACUGGGAGUAAUACCGUAUGUGGUCGAGAGACGAAAGAUUUAUCGCCAAAGGAUCGGCCCGCGUUGGAUUAGGUAGUUGGUGGGGUAAUGGCCUACCAAGCCGACGAUCCAUAGCUGGUUUGAGAAGAUGAUCAGCCACACUGGGACUGAGACACGGCCCAGACUCCUACGGGAGGCAGCAGUGGGGAAUCUUAGACAAUGGGGGAAACCCUGAUCUAGCCAUGCCGCGUGAUCGAUGAAGGCCUUAGGGUUGUAAAGAUCUUUCAGUGGGGAAGAUAAUGACUGUACCCACAGAAGAAGCCCCGGCUAACUCCGUGCCAGCAGCCGCGGUAAAAC
rnacentral:rRNA from 1 species